UGCGGUGGAGUGGAACCAAGUCCUCACCAACACUAGUUCACUUUCCCACUGCUACUUCGUACCAUGUAUGUUACACUGCCGUGUGUUGUUCAUGUGGUUGGUCUUUGUGUUUUUCUCGUUUGAGCUUAGCGCGUAGCUAAUUAACCCAGGAGAUUGUGUCGGUUGCAUCGGGGAACGGGUAGACACGUGGCGAAUUUAUAUUGGAAGAGAGGGAAGAAUCGAACAGGGCGAGUGUGGGGUCCAUUAGCCAGCUGCUGAAAGCUGGAGCAUUGACAUGAGACAUGAGACAUGAGACAUGAGACAUGAGACAGUAGUGUAGUUGGAAAAUUAGAUGAAAGAAAAAGCAUGUUUAAUUAAGUUGGCACGGCCACCCCACCUAUGGUAAUUAUGGUUAUGGUAAAACUCUGGUGUUUUGAGCGGGGCAAGAUAUUUGUGGUAAUGAGCAUUUAACGUUGGGUCAGAGGUCAGGUUCUUGCACCCAAGCUAACGAAAGCAACAAGAAAAGUGGUACACUCUAGUUAAUAAUGGUGGUGCCCACUUCGCAUUUGCAUUGGGUUCUCUUUCCAAAUCAUUGUCCUAUUCUUAUAUGCUUAUUUUCCCUCAAUAAUACCACUUGUUGUGUAUUUUGUUCCUUCA